rnacentral:lncRNA from 1 species
UCCAAACACGCAGAGGGGCCCCCGCCCCGAGGCCCUCACCCCGCACUCCCCCGCCCGCAGCCCGGCGGCAGGUGAGCACGCCGCCCCAGACUUGCUGCUGGCCCCUGCUAACAGAAUGUCCCAGAGCUGGGGAGGAAGCUCUUCUUACUGCAUCAGCGAAACAGGAAACCUCUUCCAUUGGAUCCUUGCUUGACUUUCCCUACUGUGACC